UACAGAGGGCUCAAGCGUUGUCCGGAUUUAUUGGGCGUAAAGGGCUCGUAGGCGGUUUGUCGCGUCGGGAGUGAAAACUCAGGGCUUAACCCUGAGCCUGCUUUCGAUACGGGCAGACUAGAGGUAUGCAGGGGAGAACGGAAUUCCUGGUGUAGCGGUGGAAUGCGCAGAUAUCAGGAGGAACACCGGUGGCGAAGGCGGUUCUCUGGGCAUUACCUGACGCUGAGGAGCGAAAGUGUGGGGAGCGAACAGG
rnacentral:rRNA from 1 species